AGUAAUUGUGAAAAACUGAGUUUAAAUGUAUUUGGCUAAGGUGUAUGUAUACUUCUGACUUAUAUGUUAUUGUAUGUUAUUAUUUGAGAUAUAUAUCAUAAUUUUAUGACAUCUGUCAGAGUGGAUUCUCAUCUAUUCACCCAAAAAACACAGUUAUAGUAAGUUAUACUUAAGUUGCAUUGAUGAAGAAAUAUAACUCAAUUUUUAGGUAAUAGUUUCCAGUACCUGUACCCAUCCUCCUACACAAGAUACAGCUACAGUAUCCUAGAAUGUCAAACAAAUACCAUGCCAACCUUAAAGAAUGUUCAUACAGCUAUUCUUUUCAUGAGUUCUGUCAGGCAUCUUCUCUGUGCCGCAUGUGACUUGGCCACCCAUAGCACCAAGGUUUUGUACAACAGGGAAUCUCGGUUUGAAGGGUUUUAUCGCCCCUUGUCCCCAACUCAUCAAGAUGAUGAGGGGUCCCUUGCAUUCCAGGAGCACGGUGUGCUUAUUGUUUUGGUGUUUCAAAUUAAAUCUGAUAGUACAUCCUGCAAUAACAACUUUUUAGUCAUGCUGCACAAUUUUCAAUGGAUCAGUAUUGAUUGAACCAUAUUUAACUAGGCAAGUGAGUUAAGAACAAAUUCUUAUUUACAAUGACGGCCUACCCCGGAACGGUGGGUUAAUUGCCUUGUUCAUGGGCAGAACAACAUAUUUUUACCUUGUCACCUCGAGGAUUUGAUCCAGUAACCUUUUGGUUAGUGGCCCAACGCUGUAACCACUAGGCUACCUGCCACUACAAGUAUUUACAGUCCAAAUAUAUAGAAACAUUUAUUUGGGAUUCUUUGGCGUCACAUUUUGGUUUCCACUUUGUCUUUUACCCAUGGCUGUGCCACAGUUGUGUGGUUGCACCCUGACAGUGGCAAGUGGCAAGCAGGUCAUCCUGAUUGGUAUAAUUGGUAAGUGUGUGUUUUUUAAGGACUACUUCUAUUCACAUUUAUAAAGAAUGUAAUUAAUUACUUCUAAUAAUUACUCCUGAUUCAGGGUGCUACAACCUGUCCCUUCCUGCUCUGAACUGCUCCGGGUGGCACACCCUGAUCUGUUUCACCUGUCUUUGUGUUUGUUGCCACCCCCCUCCAGGUUUCACCCAUCUUCCCCAUUAUCCCCAGUGUAUUUAUAUCUGUAUUCUCUGUUUGUUUGUUGCCAGUUCGCCUGUCUUUUUCUAGUUCCUGUUUCCCGGUUUUGACCAUUCUGCCUUCCCUGAGCCUGCCUGCCGUUCUGUACCUUGUCACACCAGCCUGGAUUUUUGACCUCUCCCUGCGCUGACCCUGAGACUGCCAGCUGUUCUGUACCGUAUGGACUCUGAUCUGAAUUACUGACCUCUGCCUGCCCUUAACCUGUCGUGUCGCCUGCCCCCUGUUCUAGUAAACUUGUGUUACUUUGACACUCUUUGCAUCUGGGUAUUCUCCUGAAACAUGUUACCCGGGUGUCUGAGACAAUGGACAGUGGGGCUGGAUGAAUUUUGUAAAGAGUGGCUACCGGCCAGGCUCCGUGACUCACCAGACCAUCUUCACAGUGGACCACUUCAAGUCUUUUGAAGACAUGAAGGUGUUGGCCCCAGGAUGCUCCUGUCAAGCCUUUGUGGGAAUGCUUGACGGAAGAACAAAGCACUUUGACAGGUGUAAAGAUAUGUGGCGACACGUUCCAGAAAGCAUUCCUCGAGUGGACAUAUGGAGGUUUGAAAUAGACAAGCUUUGUGGAAGCGAUCUCCUACAUUGUCCUGAUGCAUGCUAUAUCAGUGGAUGGGAAUCGCAAGCAAUACUGCUUUCGGAAAGCCUCAGGACACACAGAGGUUGGAGCAACAUGGUCAGAUGUUUGGGAUUUAAACCAGCAACCCACCUCUCUAGGCUAUGUGAAUGUUGAGAAGGGCUUCUAUGAUGUCUUCCUGGAGAAACAAGAUGAUGUGUCAUCCUUCAUCAAACAUGUCCAUACAAAGACCAAUCAUUCUCAGUUUCUAUAACACUGCUUAAUGUCACCCAGUUUAGAGCUUGUUUCUUUUAAAGUUGAUAUCUGCACUUCACUGUGAUUUUAAUGUUGUAGACGCCAGGCAAAGGAGUGUGUGGUACAUCAGAGUGGACAGCGGCCAAAGACGUCAGGAAAAUUGUUUGCCAAAGUAGAGGGCCUUGAUAGCAGUUUGCCGACACAGCGUGCUCCUCAAGGCCCUCAACAUGUACAGAAGCGAGAUAUAUGCCAAUGUACUUGCAGAAGAAGCUGUCUACUGCUGGCACGGUGGGCUUUUUCUGCUGCACUGUUGCAUGCAAAUACUGGCCAUAUUUGCAGAUAGUUGUGCAGGCGUACCCAGAGUUGGAGGAGCUUCUAAAAAGGCACCCUCUCCGCUAUUCAUGCUAAGGCACAUGAAUGGUCUUGUGAGUAUAGCACAAAUGGAGAGGCCGCAAUCAGCCUGGUGCCGGCAACACAACCGGAGAGAAGUCGGGCAGUACGGACAGAGAUUAUUACACUACAGUCAAUGGAUUGGAAUAAGAGGAAUUUCACCAACAUGGAUCGCAUGUAACACUCGUUUGAAGAAGUGGACCAAGAUGCAGCGUGGGAAUGUCAAAAGACUGGAGGAGACCAGCCUCGCGAAAAGCGGGAAGAGCUAGACAUCAACACCGCUGUGCUACAGGAGUGGAUUACUGAGGUCCAGCAGUGGCCUGAUGACACACUUCAGGAUCGUCAGAUGGGGCAUCUCCAGAAGAAGCUUGAAGGACUUUACCACAGUGUGAAAGAGGAAACUACUUCUACCAUUUGACAGCUCAGAGGCAACUGCCAUCAAAAGGCAAUCUUCAACAGACUGAUGUUAGUGAACAGACUGCAGGAGGAAGAGAGGAUCCUGGUCCGGGAGAUGAAGAGGCACUGGGGAAGCCUACAAAGAGCAGUGGGAACUGUGGUGGCACUGUACCUACAAGAUCAGAGUAAUGCAGUGGAGUUUUCAGAGGGAGGGAAGAAUGGCCUUCUCUGCCACCUGAAGAGAAGAUUGAGUGAACUGACACAAGACCAAGUUGACACCAGGAAUACCUACCACAAGCUGAUUCUUGGAGAAGGGGAUAUUUUUUUAUGACUGAUGUAGGUGAGAACUCCGAUGAAGAUAGAAGUUCUAUUGCUGAGAGCUCAGAUGACAACUGCUAUGCUUUCUGAAAUUCUACACCACCCCUGCCUCUUUCUCUCGGUCUCGCUUUCUCCCGCUGGAGAGGGAGAAGGCCGCCAACCACCUCCCUUGGGAGCAGCCUGGUCUCAUGACAUUGACCCCUCACCUUCUGAACCCAUCCAGGGAAAUUUAAUUUGCCUGAUGAUGUGUUAGUGGAGAAGGAAUGUGUCAUGUUUCCUCUCCUCAUCACCUCUCUUCCGGUCCUAGACUAUGGCAACAUCAUCUGCAACUCAUACUGUUGGUUGAGGACCACUUACUGAGGAAUGUGGUUCUUCAUUAUUGUUUAUAAGUAUUUUCUAUGCUGCCAUGAUUGGGGUUUUUGUGAGUUGCAAAAGAGUCCUUGAUCUCAAUGGGACUGCUAAAAUAAAUAAAGGUCUUAA